ensembl:snRNA U6 U6 spliceosomal RNA
GUGCUGAUGGUGGCAGCACUUUACUAAACAUUGGAACAAUACAGAGUAGGUUUGCAUGGCCCCUGUGUAAGGAUGACACGCAAAUUUAUGAAGCAUUCCAUAUUUUU